rnacentral:pre_miRNA from 1 species
AAAGUACUCCCUCCAUCCCAAAAUUCUUGUCUUAGAUUUGUCUAGAUACGGAUGUAUCAAGUCACAUUUUAGUAUUAGAUACAUCCGUAUCUAGACAAAACUAAGACAAGAAAUUUGGGACAGAGGGAGUAGUUG